AGUGCAGAUACGACUGACCGAGCUGACCGAGCUGUGGUGGUGAUCCGCCCUUCGCAUCUCUCCCUUCUGUUUCUCCUCCCGCAGAUCUUAGCAAACCGCCACCCCUCUCUCAAGGCGGUCUCACUGCACCGCAGCACGCUCGAUGACGUCACUGGUUCCGUUCGACUUCCGCUGUGUUAGGCACCUCACCGGUGUCUCGCUCCGCUGUGCUCCGCUACAUGUGUGCUUGGCGGCACAGCGGCCGCGGCGCGCCGCACCCACCGCGGUGCCAGCUCAGCCAACGAGUGCACCUGAUGACGGCGGCUACGACUCCUCGCUACACUCGACUGCGUCUUUGGCAAAGGGGGGCGAGGGAGGUAUCUGCCAGAGCUCGAGUAUGCAGUCUAACGGGGAAGCGGCUACUGUGGGAACAUUGCGUCGCCCAUCACCGUCGACGCCACCGCACGCUACGACUGCUGAUCGCUCCGGACGUUUGGCUUUGCCGCUCCCAUCUCAUCCAGACCAGAACAUAAACUCACUCAGCGACGAAGCAGUGCGCGCCACCCCUGUAGCCAUCGCUCACAUCAGCUCAUCAGGACACACUGUCAACUUCCACAACCCCUCUUUGUGCAUCGAAGUCUACUACACAAUCGACGCCCUUCCUCCGUUCUCGUCCUCUGCCGCUGGAGCUGGUCAGGCGAGCAGUGCCGCGUCUGCGGGAUCGACGCACGACACAGGGGCUACAAGGGAGUACGGCAGCCGCGGCGAUGGUGAUGACGAGUGGGCCAUGGAGGGGCGGUGGCCGCCCACGCUCUUUACCUCACCGGCUCACGUGUAUACGAGUGAGGUGGCGCGUGGCAGUUCACACCCCUGCUGGUCCGCCAUACCGCCUGGGCAACUGAACGCGUACGGCGCGGCCACACAGGUUGAGCUUGCCUUCUACUACACAGCUGCAUGCCUUUCAAACGCGGUGUCAUUGAUGGCGUCUGCAUCGGAUACCACGCCGCCCACAACUAUUCCUCUCGAUCACAUUGUGCCCGCCGACGUGUGCGUGCAUCGCUGCCAAGUGGACAUGCGCGACGUGGUAUACGCCGGGUCGACCAUGGAGGAGGCAGACGCUACACUGAGCCGAGUGUUUCACCUCGAGCAGCAGCAGCAUCAGCAGCCACAAACUCGAUGCUGCACCAGACCCAUCAUCUUUUUACGAUACACGGACGGCGUCUUUGUCCCGCGCGUGUGCCUGUCAGACAUCUCAGCUGCGGCGACGGGGCUGCUGGAGGAGAUGCGGGCGGCUCGAACUCGCACCUUUGCCCCACCGCCGACGGGGGCCGAGCUGCAACCCACGUCUUCCUUUCCUGACACGCUUCACACGAUCGCUGGCCAAUCAUCGAUCGUGGCGACUGCCGCAGCGGAGGCGGCAGCGGCCUGUGAAGAGCUGCCGUGGAGUCGGGCACCGUCUUCAGUUGGCUGGCGAUACCCGCCCACUGCCGUCCCUCGUGCCGGUCCGCUGCGUAUGACCAUAGGGGACGUGAAGGCGGCAACGCUCGCGACAGUUGCGUGGCAGCAACUGGCAGACCUGACAGAGGAGCGGCAGGCACAACUGGCAGCGGACUUGAAUCGUGAAGCCGCCGCCGAUCCACUGGAGCGUGCGGGGGAGGCACGGUGUGCCGCACUUCGCGUGCAGCUGUCAGCUGCACGAGAGCAGCUGACCCUCUCCACUCUGGAGCUGGAGGCGCUGCGAGAGCAGGUGGAGCAGCGGCAACGGCGGUUGCAGAGACAAGAGGAGGCACAGGCCAAGCUGCAGAGCUAUCAGGUUUACACGGUAUCACCCGAGGCGGGAGAGCAAUCAAGGGUGACGGUUCGCGAAGAGGAGGCACAGCGCGCGCGGCUCCGCGCUCAGCUCGCCAGAAUCCGGCAGCGGCGCGCGCGGGAGCUGUGCCUCGUAUACACGGUGGAGCUUUCGUCCCAGUACGCGAAUGAGGCCUGCACACGCGCGGCGGACGCGAAGGACCACAUCAACAAGUGCGCGCUCCCGAUCAUGUUUGCUGGACGCGCCGAAGCUGACACUGCCUCGCAUUUGGUGGCAAGCACGGCAGAGGAUAUGCAGGAGGAGGCCAUCGCUCUCGGCCAUGCCGGUCACCUGCUUGUUGUGCUUUCUAUAUUGUACAGCUGCGCACUGCCCUAUCCGAUUGUUCUAGCAAGCGGACAGAGCCAAGUGCUUCAGUCGCCGAACAUCAGCGCCGAGCAGGUGUUGGCGGCCCCUUACACGCUCACUGAUGCGCGCAAGUACCCGCUAAGUUGCCACAAGGUAGCCGAGCGACCUCUCAUGAUGGCUGGUGUGCAUCUAUUGCUGCGCGAUGGGAUUGUCCUGGCAAAGGCGAUGGGCAAGCCAGAGCGCCGCGUGCUCGCCUGCUCUGAUCGGCUCGGCGCGCUGCUCGAUCUGCUGCUACACGACGUCGAGUGAGGUUCAUCAAGGAGAGAUGUAUGCUCGUGUGUGUGUGCGUUUGUGUGCUGGCAAGAUUCACAUGACGUACCCAGAUGGCAGCGACACCGUGAGGGGGGAGGGAAGGGGUAUGCACAGACCGUUUUGACACCCCCUCUGCCCCACAGCGUCUGUUCUUCCCCUCGUCCUCCCGCAAGUGCUUUACAGCAGACACGCGCGUGCACUCCCCACGAAGGCACGCACACACCAAUGCGUGCUCGUUUCUCAAUGCGGUGGGUAGGCGUGUGAGUGAGCAGCGCGCCACGUCACCCCCGGCCCGACUAUCCCCCGCUCACCGCCCAUGCGCGUCUGCUCUUCGCGUGUCUCUGCUCGCUCUUUUUUUCGCCCUCAAAGGAGGAGGGAACGAGGGACAGGGGUGCAACUGCAGCAACAACGAACGAACAAGCGCAACACCCGCUCUAUCCCUCCCCCGACACACACACACACACACACAGGUGAGGCGGGCCGUGCAUGUGCACCAACGUACAUACUAGCAGGAGACAGGGGAGGGUGGGAGGAGGUUAGUUGCGGAACAACCACCCCUUUCCUUCUCUCGCUGUCCUUGGUCACCCCCAACCCCCACCGCGCACAUUUUGUAUGCCGUGUGGCCUCUCAGACCGCAGGUGGCGCCCUAUCUUCCCCUCGUUUUUCACAGGUGUCGCUCGCUUGCUUCCCUCUUCUACCUCUGCAUUGCACUUGCACAUACUUGCACGCAUACAUGCAUAUGAGUGUAUGCAG
rnacentral:misc_RNA from 1 species